ACGGACGCUGGCGGCGUGCUUAACACCUGCAAGUCGAACGGAAAGGCCCUGCUUUUGUGGGGUGCUCGAGUGGCGAACGGGUGAGUAACACGUGAGUAACCUGCCCUUGACUUUGGGAUAACUUCAGGAAACUGGGGCUAAUACCGGAUAGGAGCUCCUGCUGCAUGGUGGGGGUUGGAAAGUUUCGGCGGUUGGGGAUGGACUCGCGGCUUAUCAGCUUGUUGGUGGGGUAGUGGCUUACCAAGGCUUUGACGGGUAGCCGGCCUGAGAGGGUGACCGGCCACAUUGGGACUGAGAUACGGCCCAGACUCCUACGGGAGGCAGCAGUGGGGAAUAUUGCACAAUGGGCGGAAGCCUGAUGCAGCAACGCCGCGUGCGGGAUGACGGCCUUCGGGUUGUAAACCGCUUUCGCCUGUGACGAAGCGUGAGUGACGGUAAUGGGUAAAGAAGCACCGGCUAACUACGUG
rnacentral:rRNA from 1 species